UACGAAGGGAGCUAGCGUUGUUCGGAAUCACUGGGCGUAAAGCGCACGUAGGCGGAUUUGCCAGUCAGGGGUGAAAUCCCGGGGCUCAACCUCGGAACUGCCUUUGAUACAGCAAGUCUUGAGUUCGAGAGAGGUGGGUGGAAUUCCUAGUGUAGAGGUGAAAUUCGUAGAUAUUAGGAAGAACACCGGUGGCGAAGGCGGCCCACUGGCUCGACACUGACGCUGAGGUGCGAAAGCGUGGGGAGCAAACAGGG
rnacentral:rRNA from 1 species